AAUAGUUUUAUGCCACAUUAGUAUUCUUAUCCUGAAUUUUAAGAUUUUAUCUUGAAAAAAACUAAAUCCAAAUUAAAAUACUGAAAUUCAGGAUAAGAAUACUGAUGUGGCAUAAAACUGUU
rfam:Gossypium hirsutum cultivar TM-1 chromosome 5, whole genome shotgun sequence